GACCAAACCAACUGAAAUUCAAAUAACAGGCAAAACUCAAGUGGAGCUCAAGCUUAUGAGAAUUAGUAAGGAACUACAACUCAAGAGGAAGUUCAUGUGAAAUAAAUUUAAGCGUGUAUUUCUAGACUCUAACUUUGUACAAAAGUUCAGUGCAAAAUAUUGGAGCAAGGGGUAUUCCCCCAGAAACCAAUAACCGACUACCCCACAAAGCCUCACCACAAGACUAAAUGUCCCAGUAACACCAGAACCUUAGACCAGCCUAAGGUUCAGAAGCAGAACUUGGCAAACCAAAACCACUAGGCAGUCAAGUCAGGCCCUGGCCACCUCUACCAUCUUGAAACUGAGAAAACAAUAGUAGAGAUUUGCCAAACCAUGCAAAUAACCCCAUUCUUAUCAGUUUUCGGCACCUGCCUCCAGGUGCCAAAUCUUCCACGACAUUCAGUAAAUUGUCUCAUGACUAUCUUUCAAGAUUUUCACAGAAUCCUUCACCGUUUUCUGGUGGCAAUAAGUUGCUAAGUAAACCCAACUGGAAAUCACAGAUCUGAAUUGCUUAUUUAUGCAGCUGAGUGGCCCGAGCUAAUUUUCACAAUGAAUUACAAAUCGAAGUCAUAUGAUCAUUAGGGUUAUAAUCACAUCUAUCUCAUGAGACAACACCACGAUAGGCAGAAGAGUUGCCGUUAUAAAUGGAAAGAAAAAUCAAAAUCAAAAUGCUAUAUGGCACCGGUUCUUCUGUCACCAAUUUGUAUAAUUGCCUACUUGGCGCAAGCUCCGCCCAGACCCGCUCAUGACAUCCAUAAGAUUGGCUCCAGGUAUGAAAUAAAAUUAGGAAAAUCAUAUAUUGCUCCGCCCCCCUAGUUAUAUAGAAUGGAAAGACAAAAUGUGGUGUUAUAUUUCAUAGGUCAGGUAAAAUCUAACUUACCAUGGGUGUAAAAGAUUCAAUUUGUUGGAGUAGAAAUUCAAUCAGUAGUUCCUGUAAGGCAGAACGAGCAGAAGAAUGGAAACAACUCCAGUUGCUUCAUCCACAAACAUUAGGGGACAACCCCAUUUGCUUCAUCCACAAGGACCACUUAACAGCCUCGAAA